ACUUUCAACAACGGAUCUCUUGGUUCUGGCAUCGAUGAAGAACGCAGCGAAAUGCGAAAAGUAGUGUGAAUUGCAGAAUUCAGUGAAUCAUCGAAUCUUUGAACGCACAUUGCGCCCCUUGGUAUUCCA
rnacentral:rRNA from 1 species